ensembl:snRNA U6 U6 spliceosomal RNA
GUGCUCGCUUCGGCAGCACAUGUACUAAAACUGGAACGAUACAGAGAAGAUUAGCAUAGCCCCCGCGCAAGGAUGACACGCAAAUUCGUCAAGUGUUCCAUUUUUUU